rnacentral:rRNA from 1 species
UACGUAGGGUGCGAGCGUUAAUCGGAAUUACUGGGCGUAAAGCGUGCGCAGGCGGUUAUAUAAGACAGUUGUGAAAUCCCCGGGCUCAACCUGGGAAUUGCAUCUGUGACUGUAUAGCUAGAGUACGGUAGAGGGGGAUGGGAAUUCCGCGUGUAGCAGUGAAAUGGCGUAGAUAUGCGGAGGAACACCGAUGGCGAAGGCAAUCCCCUGGACCUGUACUGACGCUCAUGCACGAAAGCGUGGGGAGCAAACAGG